rnacentral:rRNA from 1 species
ACACGUAGGGGGCGAGCGUUGUUCGGAAUCAUUGGGCGUAAAGGGCGUGCAGGCGGUCCUGCAAGUCCGGCGUGAAAGACCCCGGCCCAACCGGGGGGACGCGCUGGAAACUGCGGGGCUUGAGUACAGGAGGGGAUGCCGGAAUUCCAGGUGUAGGGGUGGAAUCUGUAUCUAUCUGGAAGAUCACCAAUGGCGAAGGCAGGCACCUGGACAUGUACUGAAGCUGAUACGCGAAGGUGCGGGGAGCAAACAGGUUUAGAGACCCUGGUAGUCCGCACAGUAAACGAUGUGCACCAGGUGGUGGGGGGUCGACCCUCGGUACCGUAGCUAACGCAUUAAGUGCACCGCCUGGGGAGUAUGCUCGCAAGGGUGAAACUCAAAUGAAUUGACGGGG